rnacentral:rRNA from 1 species
UACGUAGGGGGCAAGCGUUGUCCGGAUUUAUUGGGCGUAAAGGGCUCGUAGGCGGUUUGUCGCGUCGGGAGUGAAAACCUCGGGCUUAACUCGGGGCUUGCUUUCGAUACGGGCAGACUGGAGGUAUGCAGGGGAGAACGGAAUUCCUGGUGUAGCGGUGAAAUGCGCAGAUAUCAGGAGGAACACCGGUGGCGAAGGCGGUUCUCUGGGCAUUACCUGACGCUGAGGAGCGAAAGUGUGGGGAGCGAACAGG